rnacentral:tRNA from 3 species
GGUGUGUUAGUUCAGCUGGUUAGAAUGCCGCCCUGUCACGGCGGAGGUCAUGGGUUCGAGUCCCAUACACACCG